GUGUCAGCAGCCGCGGUAAUACGAGAGGUCCAAACGUUAUUCGGAAUUACUGGGCUUACAGAGUUCGUAGGCGGUUCUCCAAGUGAGGUGUGAAAGCCCUCGGCUCAACCGAGGAACAGCGCUUCAAACUGUAGAACUAGAGGGAGAUAGAGGUGAGCAGAACUGAUGGUGGAGCGGUGAAAUGCGUUGAUAUCAUCAGGAAUACCGGAGGCGAAGGCGGCUCACUGGGUCUCUUCUGACGCUGAGGAACGAAAGCUAGGGGAGCAAACGGGAUUAGAUACCCCGGUAGUCCUAGCCGUAAACGAUGAGCACUGGGCCGGAGCUCUGCACAGGGUUUCGGCCGUAGCGAAAGUGUUAAGUGCUCCGCCUGGGGAGUAUGGUCGCAAGGCUGAA
rnacentral:rRNA from 1 species